GGUGCCGGUGUGACACGGGCUGUCAGGGUGACUACAGGGUGCUGGUGUGACACGGCUGUCAGGGUGACUACAGGGUGCCGGUGUGACACGGGCUGUCAGGGUGACUACAGGGUGCCGGUGUGACACGGCUGUCAGGGUGACUACAGGGUGCCGGUGUGACAUGGGCUGUCAGGGUGACUACAGGGUGCUGGUGUGACUAUGGAGUGCAGGUGUGACUACAGGGUGUCAGUGUGACAUGGUUCGUCAGUGUGAUUCCAGGGUACUGGAGUGACUACGGGCUGUCAGAGUGACUACAGGGUACUGGUGAGACUAUGAGUGCUGGAGUGAUCA